rnacentral:rRNA from 1 species
CCUACGGGGGGCAGCAGUGGGGAAUAUUGGACAAUGGGGGGAACCCUGAUCCAGCCAUGCCGCGUGUGUGAAGAAGGCCCUCGGGUUGUAAAGCACUUUCAGUGAGGAAGAACGCCUGGUGGUUAAUACCCAUCAGGAAAGACAUCACUCACAGAAGAAGCACCGGCUAACUCCGUGCCAGCAGCCGCGGUAAUACGGAGGGUGCGAGCGUUAAUCGGAAUUACUGGGCGUAAAGCGCGCGUAGGUGGCUUGAUAAGCCGGUUGUGAAAGCCCCGGGCUCAACCUGGGAACGGCAUCCGGAACUGUCAAGCUAGAGUGCAGGAGAGGAAUGUGGAAUUCCCGGUGUAGCGGUGAAAUGCGUAGAGAUCGGGAGGAAUACCAGUGGCGAAGGCGGCCUUCUGGACUGACACUGACACUGAGGUGCGAAAGCGUGGGUAGCAAACAGGAUUAGAUACCCGUGUAGUC